rnacentral:rRNA from 1 species
CCCUAAGGGGGCCUAGAAUGCAAGUCGAACGCACUCUCGUUAGAUUGAAGAAGCUUGCUUCUGAUUGAUAACAUUUGAGUGAGUGGCGGACGGGUGAGUAACACGUGGGUAACCUGCCCUAAAGUGGGGGAUAACAUUUGGAAACAGAUGCUAAUACCGCAUAAAACCUAGCACCGCAUGGUGCAAGGUUGAAAGAUGGUUUCGGCUAUCACUUUAGGAUGGACCCGCGGUGCAUUAGUUAGUUGGUGAGGUAAAGGCUCACCAAGACCGUGAUGCAUAGCCGACCUGAGAGGGUAAUCGGCCACACUGGGACUGAGACACGGCCCAGACUCCUACGGGAGGCAGCAGUAGGGAAUCUUCCACAAUGGACGAAAGUCUGAUGGAGCAACGCCGCGUGAGUGAAGAAGGUUUUCGGAUCGUAAAACUCUGUUGUUGGAGAAGAACGUAUUUGAUAGUAACUGAUCAGGUAGUGACGGUAUCCAACCAGAAAGCCACGGCUAACUACGUGCCAGCAGCCGCGGUAAUACGUAGGUGGCAAGCGUUGUCCGGAUUUAUUGGGCGUAAAGCGAGCGCAGGCGGUUUCUUAAGUCUGAUGUGAAAGCCUUCGGCUCAACCGAAGAAGUGCAUCGGAAACUGGGAAACUUGAGUGCAGAAGAGGACAGUGGAACUCCAUGUGUAGCGGUGAAAUGCGUAGAUAUAUGGAAGAACACCAGUGGCGAAGGCGGCUGUCUGGUCUGUAACUGACGCUGAGGCUCGAAAGCAUGGGUAGCAAACAGGAUUAGAUACCCUGGUAGUCCAUGCCGUAAACGAUGAGUGCUAGGUGUUGGAGGGUUUCCGCCCUUCAGUGCCGCAGCUAACGCAUUAAGCACUCCGCCUGGGGAGUACGACCGCAAGGUUGAAACUCAAAGGAAUUGACGGGGGCCCGCACAAGCGGUGGAGCAUGUGGUUUAAUUCGAAGCAACGCGAAGAACCUUACCAGGUCUUGACAUCCUUUGACCACUCUAGAGAUAGAGCUUUCCCUUCGGGGACAAAGUGACAGGUGGUGCAUGGUUGUCGUCAGCUCGUGUCGUGAGAUGUUGGGUUAAGUCCCGCAACGAGCG